GCCCAUUUAGAUCUCAUUUUAAAAAAUUGCUUCUUGUAGUUGUCUAAUUAAGCCUUUUAAAUAUACUCAAAAUUUUAUUUUAAGGUGUUCUAAAUCCUCACAAAAUUGUCGGAAUCCCUUCUUAGAUUUCAUUGUAUUUAGAUGUGAUGCAGUAACCUUUGCUCAUUUGACAUUGUACUCGAGUUAUACAACAUAUUGUCUCUGAUAAAUGAAUUAGCAUUCACAUUAUUACAUAUUUGAUUUAUGUCAUAAAGUUUCUAAAAAGUUUUAUGUUGCCUCUCGAUUGCCUAACACGACAUUCUCUUUUUAUCCAGACUUGAGCAUUUCAUUGGAAUAUAUCCAUAUGACAUCCACCCCGGUUAUUCCGUCGACAUGUCAUGCGCUUCACAGUUCAUUCGCAACAAGUUAUCAGACUAUAAAACCUACUUUGAUUGUCUAGGUUAGACGACAUGAUCUUCAACCCAUAUAAUGAUCAUCGUUGGAGGCUCCAUUCGAUAAUAUUUGUUAGUAUUUUAUGUUGGAUAAAGUGCUUAGGCAGUAUGGUCGUACAUAGACCAUUCUAAUGAAUCUUUCCAUCGUACUAGCAAUUUAGGGGUGUAUGUGGGUUGUGUCAACCAAAAAAAUUGAUCGAACCCAACCAAAAAAAAAAAAACUCAGAAAUGUGGGUUGGGCUGGGUAAUUGGGUGGGUAUUGUUUAAAAAAAAUGAAAAUUCCAUAAAAAAUAACGGGUUUCAGGUAAAACCAUACCCAAACCCAAAUAACUCACUUACCCAACAAUGCCAACAUUUUUAUUUUUAUUUUCACAUGGAAGAAGAAGAAGAAUACCAAAUGUUUUGGUCAUAAAUCAAGUCUACUUUCGAAAAUUAACACAAGACAAC
rnacentral:lncRNA from 1 species